GAUGAACGCUGGCGGCGUGCCUAAUACAUGCAAGUCGAGCGAACAGACGAGGAGCUUGCUCCUCUGACGUUAGCGGCGGACGGGUGAGUAACACGUGGAUAACCUACCUAUAAGACUGGGAUAACUUCGGGAAACCGGAGCUAAUACCGGAUAAUAUAUUGAACCGCAUGGUUCCAUAGUGAAAGACGGUUUUGCUGUCACUUAUAGAUGGAUCCGCGCCGCAUUAGCUAGUUGGUAAGGUAACGGCUUACCAAGGCGGCGAUGCGUAGCCGACCUGACAGGGUGAUCGGCCACACUGGAACUGAGACACGGUCCAGACUCCUACGGGAGGCAGCAGUAGGGAAUCUUCCGCAAUGGGCGAAAGCCGGACGGAGCAACGCCGCGUGAGUGAUGAAGGUCUUCGGAUCGUAAAACUCUGUUAUUAGGGAAGAACAAAUGUGUAAGUAACUAUGCACGUCUUGACGGUACCUAAUCAGAAAGCCACGGCUAACUACGUG
rnacentral:rRNA from 1 species